rnacentral:rRNA from 1 species
CCUACGGUAGGCUGCAGUGAGGAAUAUUGGUCAAUGGACGCAAGUCUGAACCAGCCAUGCCGCGUGCAGGAAGACGGCUCUAUGAGUUGUAAACUGCUUUUGUACGAGGGUAAACGCAGAUACGCGUAUCUGUCUGAAAGUAUCGUACGAAUAAGGAUCGGCUAACUCCGUGCCAGCAGCCGCGGUAAUAAGGAGGAUUCAAGCGUUAUCCGGAUUUAUUGGGUUUAAAGGGUGCGUAGGCGGUCGGAUAAGUUAGAGGUGAAAUCCCGAGGCUCAACUUCGGAAUUGCCUCUGAUACUGUUCGGCUAGAGAGUAGUUGCGGUAGGCGGAAUGUAUGGUGUAGCGGUGAAAUGCUUAGAGAUCAUACAGAACACCGAUUGCGAAGGCAGCUUACCAAGCUACUUCUGACGUUGAGGCACGAAAGCGUGGGGAGCAAACAGGAUUAGAUACCCUAGUAGUC